AUUGAACGCUGGCGGAAUGCUUUACACAUGCAAGUCGAACGGCAGCACGGACUUCGGUCUGGUGGCGAGUGGCGAACGGGUGAGUAACAUAUCGGAACGUAUCCAAUAAUGGGGGAUAACGAGUCGAAAGAUUCGCUAAUACCGCAUACGCCCUACGGGGGAAAGCUGGGGACCUUCGGGCCUGGCGUUAAUGGAGCGGCCGAUAUCUGAUUAGCUAGUUGGUGAGGUAAAGGCUCACCAAGGCGACGAUCAGUAGCUGGUCUGAGAGGACGACGAGCCACACUGGAACUGAGACAAGGUCGAGACUCCUACGGGAGUCAGCAGUGGGGAAUUUUGGACAAUGGGCGCAAGUCUGAGCCAGCCAUUCCGCGUGAGUGAAGAAGGCCUUCGGGUUGUAAAGCUCUUUCGCAAGGGAAGAAAACUUAGCCACUAACAUUGGUUGAGGUUGACGGUACCUUGAUAAGAAGCACCGGCUAACUACGUGCCAGCCGCCGCGGUAA
rnacentral:rRNA from 1 species